CAGCACAAAUAAUGUAUGUUUUCUGAACCAUCUGAGGGCGAGUUAUCAACACUUACUCUCCAAUGCGUCAUCACCCCCAACACUCCUGUGUAUUUCCUGCAAAUAAGGAUCUUCUCCUACAUGGUCAGUCCGAACAACCUUCAGUCACAACUGAGAAGGUCACAUGGUGCAUCACUGCCGCUCAGUCUCCCCAAGCCCAGUGAUUUCUUCACAAUUAGGGAUCUGAGACCCGCAGUAUGGCAGUGACAAGAUCCAAGUCUUGGGACACCUAGCCAGGAGGGAAGAAUUUGAGGGAGAGGUGGAAAAUAUGCGAGGCUGAACUGACCUUCAAGGACAAGAAGGCUGUGUUCAGAUAGACAGAGUUUGUCUUCUGGGAGAGGAGUGGGCUUAUCCAGGAUGAUCCCAAAGGCAGAUUGAGGACCAGUGGGAGGACAUCCUGAGAAAGCAGAUCCAGCUUUAGGCAAGGAAGGACUUCGUAACAGGCAGAGAGCCCAUGUUGGAAACAAGCAGCUCUGCAAGGUGUGGGCCCACUGUCUGACUCCCUGCGGGGCUGCUGCCUUGGAAGAGCCUCCUGCUUAGAGAGGUUCUCCUGCCGCCAGCUGUCUCUCCUGAGUCCUGAGCACCACAUCUCUGGACCGUCUGGAGCCUCCCCUCCCUUGGCUUACUGCUCCCACCACCCUCUCUCUCCACCUUGCAAGAGACACUCUCCCUCAUCCUGGGUCAUCACCCUCUUUAGAGGCGCCGCCUGGCCACGAGGUUGGAUAUGGGGGGUGGGCAGGAUCUUGGCCUUACUUGAUGCAGUGCACACCUCCAACAGGCAUCAGAUGGAGUGCAGCCGGGAGCAAGAUUCUCAUAGCAAUUACAAAGAUUCACAAGAAAAUGUGCCCUCCACUACACAGCUGUAAUUUACAUGCUUUCAAACUUGAUAUGGAAUGACUGUGGUUUCCCCUGAAAGAAGCAUCACUGAUCUCUGCACAGGAGAAACAAGGUGGGCACUGAGGGAAGGGCUUUGAAACUGAGACGGGAGCCUGGCUCCCGCCCCAGCCUGGCUAGAGAUCUUGAAUGUGGGUUUCUGAACAC
rnacentral:lncRNA from 10 species